rnacentral:rRNA from 1 species
AUUGAACGCUAGCGGGAUGCUUUACACAUGCAAGUCGAACGGCAGCACGGACUUCGGUCUGGUGGCGAGUGGCGAACGGGUGAGUAAUGUAUCGGAACGUGCCCAGUAGCGGGGGGAUAACUACUCGAAAGAGUGGCUAAUACCGCAUAUGCCCUAAGGGGGGAAAGCAGGGGAUCUUCGGACCUUGCACUAUUGGAGCGGCCGAUAUCGGAUUAGCUAGUUGGUGGGUAAAGGCCU